UACGAAGGGGGCUAGCGUUGCUCGGAAUCACUGGGCGUAAAGCGCACGUAGGCGGGUUCUUAAGUCAGGGGUGAAAUCCUGGAGCUCAACUCCAGAACUGCCUUUGAUACUGAGAGCUUGAGUCCGGGAGAGGUGAGUGGAACUGCGAGUGUAGAGGUGAAAUUCGUAGAUAUUCGCAAGAACACCAGUGGCGAAGGCGGCUCACUGGCCCGGUACGUGACGCUGAGGUGCGAA
rnacentral:rRNA from 1 species